UGUUUUGUCUUCUGCUAUAGUAUGUGUCACAGGAACAUAAUGGCAGGAGAUGAUUGUUUGCCCUCAUUGCAGUAGUGCAUCAAAUGCUGCAAGCUAAGGCCAUUAUUUCUUGUGUUCAGCACAAGAAAUAAUGGCAGUAUGUGAGGCACCCAUUGGCAACACACUUUACAAUACUUGAUUAUGGAAGACAGUCUUCUGCACAGUGCCAAUGGAAAUGUGGAACUUAUCAAGUCAGAUGCUUCAUUGAUUGACAGCAUGAUUAAGACACUGUCUGCAAUCAAAUUAUCAGUCAUGACUUUGUACAUACCACCAGGCAUGGCAAAUCUGACAUUUUCUCUGUCCUUGUGGAACAUUUAUGACAAAUCAGUGACUGUCAUUUUUUGACACUCACUUUUCUCUAUACAGUGAUCAUUUUCAAAUCUCCUAGUUUGCAUCUCUCGGUCAUUAAAAUCUGAAUUACCACUCUCAUAUCCUGCUUGGGCAGGUUUUCAAUCCCACCAGCCAUCUUCAAUGUUAUACCAUACAUUAAAUUAUGCACUUGCAUCAUUUUUAAAGAACACUAAACAUGUUCCAUGUAUACAACUUGCUGCUUACAUGAUAUUUAAGUGAAUGAGCUGCGCAUGUGCCAUGCUUACAGCUCAUUCACUUAAACAUCUAUGUUGUGUUGACUAAAAUGUCAAUUUAACCCAUGGUGUUUGAACAUGCCUUAUACAUUAGCUUGAUUCUAAAUGAUGG
rnacentral:lncRNA from 1 species